UACGAAGGGGGCUAGCGUUGUUCGGAUUUACCGGGCGUAAAGCGCACGUAGGCGGAUAGUUAAGUGAGGGGUGAAAUCCCAGGGCUCAACCCUGGAACUGCCUUUCAUACUGGCUAUCUAGAGUCCGGGAGAGGUGAGUGGAACUGCGAGUGUAGAGGUGAAAUUCGUAGAUAUUCGCAAGAACACCAGUGGCGAAGGCGGCUCACUGGCCGUACGUCGACGCUGAGGCACGAAAGCGUGGGGAGCAAACAGGG
rnacentral:rRNA from 1 species